AUUGAACGCUGGCGGCAGGCCUAACACUUGCAAGUCGAGCGGAUGAAGGGAGCUUGCUCCUGGAUUCAGCGGCGGACGGGUGAGUAAUGCCUAGGAAUCUGCCUGGUAGUGGGGGAUAACGUCCGGAAACGGGCGCUAAUACCGCAUACGUCCUGAGGGAGAAAGUGGGGGAUCUUCGGACCUCACGCUAUCAGAUGAGCCUAGGUCGGAUUAGCUAGUUGGUGGGGUAAAGGCCUACCAAGGCGACGAUCCGUAACUGGUCUGAGAGGAUGAUCAGUCACACUGGAACUGAGACACGGUCCAGACUCCUACGGGAGGCAGCAGUGGGGAAUAUUGGACAAUGGGCGAAAGCCUGAUCCAGCCAUGCCGCGUGUGUGAAGAAGGUCUUCGGAUUGUAAAGCACUUUAAGUUGGGAGGAAGGGCAGUAAGUUAAUACCUUGCUGUUUUGACGUUACCAACGGAAUAAGCACCGGCUAACUUCGUG
rnacentral:rRNA from 1 species